rnacentral:rRNA from 1 species
UGCCAGCCGCCGCGGUAAUACGGAGGGCGCAAGCGUUGUUCGGAAUUACUGGGCGUAAAGCGCAGGCAGGCGGUUCGUUAAGUCGUUUGUGAAAACCCGGGGCUCAACCCCGCGGAAUGCAGACGAUACUGGCGAACUGGAGACCAGUAGAGGCUAGCGGAAUUCCUGGUGUAGCGGUGGAAUGCGUAGAUAUCUGAAGGAACAUCAGUGGCGAAGGCGGCUUCCUGGAUCAACACUGACGCUGAGGUGCGAAAGCGUGGGGAGCAAACAGGAUUAGAUA